UCUCUUGUAGCUCAGUUGGUUAGAGCGCUGCACCGGAAUCGCAGGGCCGUAGGUUCAAUUCCUACCAGCUAGAG
rnacentral:tRNA from 1 species